GACGGAGGGUGCAAACGUUGUUCGGAAUCACUGGGCGUAAAGGGCGCGUAGGCGGACCUGUAAGUCGGGAGUGAAAACUCGAGGCUCAACCUCGAGCCUGCUUCCGAAACUGCAAGUCUUGAGGACCGGAGAGGAAAGUGGAAUUCCUAGUGUAGCGGUGGAAUGCGUAGAUAUUAGGAAGAACACCAGUGGCGAAGGCGACUUUCUGGACGGUUCCUGACGCUGAGGCGCGAAAGCUAGGGGAGCAAACAGG
rnacentral:rRNA from 1 species